CACUGGAGCACAUGUUAUUUUCCUUUCUGGUUUGAUUCUAAAUGUUAAAGUUCUAAUAAAAAUAGAAGGAAAACUCUCCUUGGAAUGACUGUGCUGCCGAAGCCACCGUUGGUUUGGAAUUUCCUCAGCCAUCUUAUUCUUGUUUUCAUUACCUUUAGGUCUAUUUAGAUAAGAACAGAUUUGUAUUCUUCUCUUCAUACUGCUUCCUUACCACCUGAAAUCCUCUUCUGCUCUUUGCAGUUCCCAACACAACUGUGAGCAAUAUCCUGAACAGAGCGCUGUAACUUCAGGUGGAGAAAAGCAACAGAAGCAGAUGGGCUUGUAAACAGCAGAGCUGGCUGCCCCACUGAGGGCCGCGCAGAGCAGAGAGGAGCAGAACGCAGGGACACUACUGCAGAUCCCAUGGAUUGCAACAGUCACAGGGAAAGGAGACCUAUGAAAGAUGGCUCCAGGAUGUCUGAG
rnacentral:lncRNA from 1 species